GAGAUACAUGUUAGUUGUGAAAGGAGCUUCCUUCAAUCCAAUUGAGAGGGCUAGACAGUGGUUUGAGCUGUCAAAUCAUGCACUCGGCUCACCCUUAAUCGUCAUGGAAAGUAUGAUGCUAAGGGUUUGCCAGUUGCAUGAUAUGAGAGCAACUCUGCCGCUGCUUGUAUUUCCCAUUGGAUUGAAGGGAGCUCCCUCAUUAACUCAGUGUAGCUU
rnacentral:pre_miRNA from 1 species